rnacentral:misc_RNA from 1 species
AAUUUUUUUUUUUUUUUUGAAAAAUUAAAAAUAAAAAACUGUUCACUCUUAAAACAAAAUGAGUAAGCUCUUUGUUUCCUAAGUUCAGUGGCAUCAACUAGCUUUUACAACUAUAACAUGCAAAAUUUGAAUUGUUUCUCCAUUGUACUUCAACCAUAGAUGACUACUGCUGUUAUUAGCAAUGUGCCAGUGUUUCAUGUUACAUCUUACAGUCUAGAAGUCAGAGAGUGCCUGAGCUCCCUACGGAGGAUCUUUCCCGCGGCGGACUUUGGUAUUGAUUCCACAAAGAUCACCUUUCUCACCUUCUUAUAUGGUGCAACCUGUUCAGCUACAUAGUUGAUAAUUGCUUCUUGUGUAAGCUUGUUUCCAUUCCUCUUGACCAAAAAUGCCACAGGUAUUUCCCCACAUUCUUUGUCAGUGGCACUAAGUAUAGAAAUGAUAACAGGGAAGCAAAUAAGAGAGAACUCAAACAAAGCAAUUAGGAGAUUAGAAACCAUAAUAAUGAAAUCAUUCUUGAAAAAUAUUAUCAGUCUAGUCUCAUUUUCAAGAUCAAAAAUCAGAAGCUGUUAGAUAGUACAAGGCCAUGCAUAUCAAUGCAUUUUAAUGGUUAUAUGCUAAAAAUAUCAGCUCAGAUAGGAUGAUGCUGAACUCCCGUUGUAUAUUUAUGUCAUUUGGAAAAUUAUAGGAAAAUACAAAUCUUUUCCUCUUUACACCACAUUCAACUGCCAUUUUAGUAGAUACUCGAGUGCAUGGAGUUUUCACACUCACCCUAUUACUGCAGCAUCAAGUAUAUCAGGAUGGGAAAUCAAUACGGCCUCUAAAUCAGCAGGAGCAAUCUGCAAAAGGUGCAAAAUGUUAACAAAUUGCUAAAUCUGCCACCAUUCAAUAAUGUGUUAGUUGAAGUAUUUUUCCAGUGAUGUUCUCAUCUUCUCUUAUUGAUGAGACUAAAUUCAGACAGGGAAAAAAAUUGAUGAAAAAAAAGGAAAUAAUUGAAUUGCAAAAUAAGAUUCUAUACAGGAAGAGCUUGUUUUUAGUAAAUUAUCAUGCCAAACAAAGACCAAUACUUAAAUAAACUGCCAUUCCUACCAAGAAGUUAUGUGUGGUGCAUAUUGGACAGUAUGGAAUGUUGAAUUCAUACCUGAAAACCCUUGUAUUUGAUUAUUUCUUUCAAACGAUCAACUAUAUGCAAGUAUCCAUCACAAUCAAUAUAAACAAUGUCUCCAGUAUGCAGCCAACCAUCUUUAUCAAUUGUAGAUGCAGUUGCCCUGCUAUUAUUCAAAUACUCUUUCAUAACUGCAGGUCCUCGAAUCCAAAGCUCGCCAGUACAGCCAGGAGGCAAGAAACGACCAGUGAUCCAAUCCAUCACUUUAGCUUGCAUAUUAGGAGCUAAAAGUCCUGUAGAAGAGUAUUUUUGGAAGUGUUUAGUAUUGAAGCCACGGGUUCCUACAGCAGUCGACUCGGUCAUGCCAUAACCCUGAAUGAAAUCAACAUGAGAGAGAAUAUCCAAAAAAUCCUGUAUUGUUUUGCCAUACAAAGGAGCUCCUCCACAUGAAACCUGCUUCAAACUCUUGAAGCUAUUUGCAGAAACACUCUUGGCUUUCUUUGUCAAUGCUUGGAGCAUUGGAGGAACAACAGGAAAGUGAGUAACUCCAUACCCAUCAAUCGCCUUCACCAUCUCAUUGGCAUCAAAUUUCCUCAUAACAACAAUGCUAGACCCCAGUGACAACAACCCUAUCACAAAGAGUGAUAGCCCAUAUACAUGAAACAUUGGCAAAGCAGCCAAAUACACAUUCUUUGAACUUGAAUACUCAUACUGUGAAGCCUCAAACCUUACAAAUAGCUCAACCACAGAAAUUAAAUUCCUGUGUGUUAGAAUAGCCCCUUUGCUGGCACCAGUAGUACCUGAUGAAUACAUUAUUGCAGCUGUAUCUUCCUGCCUAAUCACUGGCCUCGUACCUAAAUUAACAUUACCAUAAACUAGCUUAUAGAAAACUUCAAAUUCCUUAUUUUCCUUAAGCAAAGUCACAUUUUCUGGAACACAAACAAUAGGAAUCCCCAAUGACUGAAAUUUGGCAGCAUUUUCCAAAAUAGAGAAAGCUAUACAUGCCUUGCAAUCAACGAUUUGCUUCUUAAUUUCCAUCACAGUACUCAGAGGAUUCAUAGUAGUAACAAUUGCACCCAUGUAGAGAACACCCAAGAAAAGAAUGGGAAAGUAGAUUGAAUUGGGCAACAAAAGCAAAACCACGUCACCUUGUUUAAUACCAAAAAUGCUGCGAAGACCAGAAGCGAUGGAUUUAACCAAAGGAAAGAGGUCCGAGUGUGAGAUUGAAGACCCAGAUGAAGAAUCAAUGAGAGCCGUCUGGCCAUUGUGAUUGUGUGAGAAAAUGAAGGAAACAACAUCAAGAAAAGGGUCUGCAGGGAGAGGAAUGGAGGGGUAUUUACUGCUAUAGAUUCCUGUUUGUGGAGAGUACCAUUCUGGGAAGGUGGGUGCGAGCUUCGGCAUCUGAGUGGGUUGGGAUCCCAUUGAAUGACUGUUGUCUACGGUCGGCGGCUCGCCGCCGAACAAAACACACUCUCCUUGGUUCUCGCUCUGCUCUGCGUUUC